AAUAAAAUAAACUAAAUUAAAAAAGUUAUUAGAUUCAUAUUCUAAAUAUAGAAAAAAAUUUUUCUUUUUAUUA
rnacentral:tRNA from 1 species